rnacentral:rRNA from 1 species
GACGAACGCUGGCGGCGUGCUUAACACAUGCAAGUCGAACGGUAAGGCCCCUUCGGGGGUACACGAGUGGCGAACGGGUGAGUAACACGUGAGUAACCUGCCCUUGACUUUGGGAUAACUUCAGGAAACUGGGGCUAAUACCGGAUAGGAGCUCCUGCUGCAUGGUGGGGGUUGGAAAGUUUCGGCGGUUGGGGAUGGACUCGCGGCUUAUCAGCUUGUUGGUGGGGUAGUGGCUUACCAAGGCUUUGACGGGUAGCCGGCCUGAGAGGGUGACCGGCCACAUUGGGACUGAGAUACGGCCCAGACUCCUACGGGAGGCAGCAGUGGGGAAUAUUGCACAAUGGGCGGAAGCCUGAUGCAGCAACGCCGCGUGCGGGAUGACGGCCUUCGGGUUGUAAACCGCUUUCGCCUGUGACGAAGCGUGAGUGACGGUAAUGGGUAAAGAAGCACCGGCUAACUACGUG